rnacentral:rRNA from 1 species
GAUGAACGCUGGUGGCGUGCUUAACACAUGCAAGUCGAACGGGAAUUAUUUUAUUGAAACUUCGGUCGAUUUAAUUUAAUUCUAGUGGCGGACGGGUGAGUAACGCGUGGGUAACCUGCCUUAUACAGGGGGAUAACAGUCAGAAAUGGCUGCUAAUACCGCAUAAGCGCACAGAGCUGCAUGGCUCAGUGUGAAAAACUCCGGUGGUAUAAGAUGGACCCGCGUUGGAUUAGCUGGUUGGUGGGGUAACGGCCCACCAAGGCGACGAUCCAUAGCCGGCCUGAGAGGGUGAACGGCCACAUUGGGACUGAGACACGGCCCAGACUCCUACGGGAGGCAGCAGUGGGGAAUAUUGCACAAUGGGGGAAACCCUGAUGCAGCGACGCCGCGUGAAGGAAGAAGUAUCUCGGUAUGUAAACUUCUAUCAGCAGGGAAGAUAGUGACGGUACCUGACUAAGAAGCCCCGGCUAACUACGUG